CUGCUUUCCGCCAGAGAACUACAAGUGAAAAACUUUAAACUCAAAGGACUUGGCGGUGUCCCAUAUCGACCUAGAGGAGCCUGUCCUAUAAUCGAUACUCCCCGCUCUACCUAACCUCAACUAGCACCUCACAGCCUAUAUACCGCCGUCGACAGUCUACCCCAUGAGGGCCCAAUAGUAGACACAAUAGCCUAACCGCUAACACGUCAGGUCAAGGUGUAGCACAUGCUGAGGAAGAGAUUGGCUACAUUUUUUAUAUUAAAAAACACGAAAUGCAACAUGAAACCCUGCAUGAAGGUGAAUUUAGUAGUAAGAUCAACGAGAGUGUUUAUCUUAACAACGCUCUGGGACGCGCACACACCGCCCGUCA
rnacentral:rRNA from 1 species